UUAGGUUAAGUUAUGAAGGGCGCAUGGUGGAUGCCUUGGCACUAGGAGCUGAUGAAGGACGGGACUAACACCGAUAUGCUUCGGGGAGCUGUACGUAAGCUGAUGAAGGACGGGACUAACACCGAUAUGCUUCGGGGAGCUGUACGUAAGCUUUGAUCCGGAGAUUUCCGAAUGAGGAAACUCGAUAACCUUAAUCGGUUAUCACCAAUUAGUGAAUUAAUUAGCUAAUUUGGCGGCAGACGUGGGGAACUGAAACAUCUAAGUACCCACAGGAAGAGAAAGAAAUUUCG
rnacentral:rRNA from 1 species